rnacentral:rRNA from 1 species
CAGAACGAACGCUGGCGGCGUGCUUAACACGUGCAAGUCGAACGAGAAAAUCGUAGCAAUACGGUGAGUAAAGUGGCGCACGGGUCCGUAACACGUGGAUAAUCGUUCCUAUAGGCAAGGGACAACCUGUCGAAAGACGGGCUAAUACCUUAUAAGACCACGAAAUCCUUGGAAUUUUGGGGUAAAAGGUGGCCUCUAUUUAUAAGCUAUCACCUUUAUGAUGAGUCCGCGCACCAGUUAGCUAGUUGGUGGGGUAAAAGCUCACCAAGGCCAAGAUGGUUAGCUGGUCUGAGAGGACGACCAGCGACACUGGAACUGAGACACGGUCCAGACUCCUACGGGAGGCAGCAGUGGGGAAUUUUGGACAAUGGGCGAAAGCCUGAUCCAGCAACGCCGCGUGAAGUGAUGAAGGCCUUCGGGUUGUAAAGCUCUGUCGGAGGGAACGAAUAAAGGCCACCUAAUACGUGGUCAUAUGACGGUACCCUUAAAGGAAGCACCGGCUAACUCUGUGCCAGCCGCCGC